GUGGCUGUGGCUCAGUGGCAGAGCAUUCACGUAGCAUGUGCAAGGCCCUGGGUUUGAUCCUCAGCAGUACA
rnacentral:tRNA from 1 species